GUCGCUAGAUUUGUAGAAAUAAUUUUGCCCAAGUUAUUAUUAGCGACAGAAUUAUGUCCGUCGCUAUUUCCGUCGCUGUGUCUUUUUAAAGUUAAUGUUUAUCUAGGGCACAAAUCUGCUUACAGACUCACAUUCUCUCUCUCUCUAUCAAACUCGCCCACUUUCUCGCAUCUUCAAUAAUGUGAUAUUCUUUCUUUCUUCCAAUUCAACAAAUUAGGCGUGAAUCUAAGGCUCAUAUACAAUGGGAACAUAGAUAUCCAUAUUUUUUUCUUCUAAUUUUGCUGGUUCAUAGCUAUUCCUAGGUUGUUUGAACAUGCCAUCAAAUGGGUGUUUCUUCAAAUGAGUCUUUUGGUGAGUUCAAGAUUACUUUUUUCCACUAUCUUUUAAUUUUAUAUACAUUUUUUAGUUCUACCACUUGUAUAGAAUUUGAUGGAUACUUUGAAUACUUCUUUAACCCUCUGGAUCUAGUAUUCUCUUUGUUAAUCUUUUGAUUUGGACGAUUACGUAGUGGACCCCAACUAUUUUAGAAUUGAGUUGUGUUGUAUGGCUGUGUUGAAAUACUUUUUGGUUCUAGUAAUUUUGUUGAAUUUAACAACAGCUUAUUUACUUUUAAAGAUGCUAUUAUUUUUUGGACAAGGUAAUAAUGCUGCUUUAAUCUUCUGGAUUUGGUAUUCUAUUUGUUAAUUUAGAUCUUAGUUCAAUUCUAAGUUAGAUUUAGACUAUGUGAUAUAUAGCUGGCAAAUUUAUACUUCCUCCUAUUUUCUUGAUUUGGUUCUACAUGUGCUGUAAGUUUGCUUCAAUUUUAUGUCUUUCGGUGAAUGGGGUAUUAAAAGGUGCUCUAUAUUAUCGGGUUAUUAUUUGAGCUUCUAUUCAUGGCUUGUGUUUACUUAUUUUUUGUUGUAAUCUUUUAUUGUUCUCAUUAUUGUAGAUUAAAUUGAUAUGAUUUUCAUGCUUCAAUGGCUUGUUGAUACAUAUUUACUCUAGUCUCUUUCAAGUUAGAUAUUGUAUAUGAAAUUAUUAUUAUGCUUUAUCUCAUAAACACUAUGAGAUUGAAUGCAACUUUUUUGAAAUAUUCUUUCAGGAUUUUGUAGUGCAAGUGAAAGACGGAUUUGCACCUUGAAGUUCUUUGUUAGCUAUCUCGAUGGUAUUUUUACAAUGAGUACUAUUAUUAAAUGAUGGUUAAAGUUCAUCUAGUUGACUAUUAUUAAUCUCAAAAGGAAAAAAGUUGAUCUACUUGAUUGUCAUGUUCUGUUUGUAGUUUGGCCUAUUAUUUUAUGAUUUUUUGUUAUUUUCCAGUUAUGCAAUCUUGAAAAUGAUCUAAGGUUCUCAUUCUUUCCCAAAAGGAAGGAUCAACAGGUAUUGCUGAUUUGGCUGCCAAUUACAUUAGAGAAGCUUGUGACAACAUGUAUUUAAAUAGAGACAUUGAUUAAUUUUCUUUCAUCCUUUCAAUUUGCUUUUGUGGACCAUAAAAUUAUAUAAAUUGAUACUUAUCUGCCCUGCAAAAAAAAAUUUGGAAUGCAUUAAUAACCUCCCAUCAUUUUCCUAUUAUGCUACAAGUCUUCAACAUCUUGCUACAACACUCAUUUUAAAAUGUUUCAGUGCAAGUCAUUUACAUAUUAAAUGUAUUAUGAACGCAUUAGAGAUCCCAAUUUCUUUACUGUUUCCUGAUGCGUAUAUUGGUUGCAUUGCUUUGUUUAACAAUGGAUUACUGUUUCUUAACUCUUUCAUCAUUACAGUUUGCUUUCGGACGCUUCUUACUAUUUCUCCCACGGGGUUAGUCUAUGCUUGUACUAUUGUUUUUUUAUAUAUUGUUAUUGAUAUAUGAUAUACCUUGAAAUACUGCCUUCUAAUUUGUUCAGGUUAGAACCUUCAAGAGAAUGCUCUGAGUGUAUAACUAAUUCUUUCAAGCAUGAAAUUAAUUCUAAUGGAAUCAACUGGAAAAGCGUCUCGGAUGAGACAAAAAGAUUUUAUUUUGGAGAAUUCAAG
rnacentral:lncRNA from 1 species